rnacentral:rRNA from 1 species
AUUGAACGCUGGCGGCCGGCCUAACACAUGCAAGUCGAACGAGUGGCGGACGGGUGAGUAAUGUCUGGGAAACUGCCUGAUGGUGGGGGAUAACUACUGGACACGGUAGCUAAUACCGCAUACCAUCAGAUGUGCCCAGAUGGGCUUAGCUUGUUGGUGGGGUAACGGCUCGCCAAGGCGACGAUCCCUAGCUGGUCUGAGAGGAUGACCAGCCACACUGGAACGUAGACACGGUCCAGACUCCUACGGGAUGCAGCAGUGGGGAAUAUGGCACAAGGGGCGCAAGCCUGAUGCAGCCAUGCCGCGUGUAUGAAUAAGGCCUUCGGGUUGUAAAGUACUUUCAGCGGGGAGGCGUUACCCGCAGAAGAAGCACCGGCUAACUCCGUGCCAGCAGCCGCGGUAAUAC